rnacentral:rRNA from 1 species
UGGGUCAGAGCCNACGCUGGCGGCAGGCCUGACACAUGCAAGUCGAACGGACCCUUCGGGGUUAGUGGCGGACGGGUGAGUAACACGUGGGCUACGUGCCUUUAGGUUCGGAAUAGCUCCUGGAAACGGGUGGUAAUGCCGAAUGUGCCCUUCGGGGGAAAGAUUUAUCGCCUUUAGAGCGGCCCGCGUCUGAUUAGCUAGUUGGUGAGGUAACGGCUCACCAAGGCGACGAUCAGUAGCUGGUCUGAGAGGAUGACCAGCCACACUGGGACUGAGACACGGCCCAGACUCCUACGGGAGGCAGCAGUGGGGAAUCUUGCGCAAUGGGCGAAAGCCUGACGCAGCCAUGCCGCGUGAAUGAUGAAGGUCUUAGGAUUGUAAAAUUCUUUCACCGGGGACGAUAAUGAC